rnacentral:rRNA from 1 species
ACGGGUGAGUAACACGUGGGCAACCUGCCCUUGAGACUGGGAUAACUUCGGGAAACCGGAGCUAAUACCGGAUAAUAUAAGGAACCUCCUGGUUCCUUGUUGAAAGAUGGUUUCGGCUAUCACUUAAGGAUGGGCCCGCGGCGCAUUAGCUAGUUGGUGAGGUAACGGCUCACCAAGGCGACGAUGCGUAGCCGACCUGAGAGGGUGAUCGGCCACACUGGGACUGAGACACGGCCCAGACUCCUGCGGGAGGCAGCAGUAGGGAAUCUUCCACAAUGGACGAAAGUCUGAUGGAGCAACGCCGCGUGAGUGAUGAAGGCCUUCGGGUCGUAAAGCUCUGUUGUUAGGGAAGAACAAGUGCGAGAGUAACUGCUCGCACCUUGACGGUACCUAACCAGAAAGCCACGGCUAACUACGUGCCAGCAGCCGCGGUAAUACGUAGGUGGCAAGCGUUAUCCGGAAUUAUUGGGCGUAAAGCGCGCGCAGGUGGUUUCUUAAGUCUGAUGUGAAAGCCCACGGCUCAACCGUGGAGGGUCAUUGGAAACUGGGGAACUUGAGUGCAGAAGAGGAAAGUGGAAUUCCA